rnacentral:rRNA from 1 species
GAUGAACGCUGGCGGCGUGCCUAAUACAUGCAAGUCGAGCGAACAGAUGAGGAGCUUGCUCCUCUGACGUUAGCGGCGGACGGGUGAGUAACACGUGGAUAACCUACCUAUAAGACUGGGAUAACUUCGGGAAACCGGAGCUAAUACCGGAUAAUAUAUUGAACCGCAUGGUUCAAUAGUGAAAGACGGUUUUGCUGUCACUUAUAGAUGGAUCCGCGCCGCAUUAGCUAGUUGGUAAGGUAACGGCUUACCAAGGCAACGAUGCGUAGCCGACCUGAGAGGGUGAUCGGCCACACGGGAAGUGAGACAGGGUCCAGACUCCUACGGGAGGAAGCAGAAGGGAAUCUUCCGCAAUGGGCGAAAGCCUGACGGAGCAACGCAGCGUGAGUGAUGAAGGUCUUCGGAUCGUAAAACUCUGUUAUUAGGGAAGAACAAAUGUGUAAGUAACUAUGCACGUCUUGACGGUAACUAAUCAGAAAGCCACGGCUAACUACGUG